rnacentral:rRNA from 1 species
ACUCCUACGGGAGGCAGCAGUGGGGAAUUGUUCGCAAUGGGCGCAAGCCUGACGACGCAACGCCGCGUGGAGGAUGAAGGUCUUCGGAUUGUAAACUCCUGUUGCCCGGGACGAAUGGCUCCAACCUAACACGUUGGAGUGUGACGGUACCGGGUGAGGAAGCCCCGGCUAACUCUGUGCCAGCAGCCGCGGUAAUA